rnacentral:rRNA from 1 species
UGGGAACGCGAAGAACCUUACCUAGACUUGACAUCCCCUGAAUUACUCGUAACUGAGGAAGCCCUUCGGGGCAGGGAGACAGGUGGUGCAUGGUUGUCGUCAACUCGUGUCGUGAGAUGUUGGGUUAAGUCCUGCAACGAGCGCAACCCUUAUCAUUAAUUGCUACCAUUAAGUUGAGCACUCUAAUGAGACCGCCCGGGUUAACCGGGAGGAAGGUGGGGAUGACGUCAAAUCAUCAUGCCCCUUAUGUCUAGGGCUACACACGUGCUACAAUGGUGAGUACAGAAAGAUGCAAUCCCGUGAGGGGGAGCAAAACUCAAAAACUCAUCCCAGUUCGGAUUGUAGGCUGAAACUCGCCUACAUGAAGCCGGAGUUGCUAGUAAUCGCGAAUCAGCAUGUCGCGGUGAAUACGUUCCCGGGUCUUGUACACACCG